rnacentral:rRNA from 1 species
AUUGAACGCUGGCGGCAGGCCUAACACAUGCAAGUCGAACGAGUGGCGGACGGGUGAGUAAUCUAUGGGAAUGUGCCCAGUAGGGGGGGAUAACUACUCGAAAGUGUCGCUAAUACCGCAUACUAUUCUAUGGGCCGAUAUGGGAUUAGCUUGUUUGUGGGGUAAAGGCUCAACAAGGCGACGAUCCCUAGCGGGUUUGAGAGGAUGACCAGCCAAACGGGAACUUGGAAACGGUCCAGACUCCCACGGGAGGCAGCAGUGGGGAAUAUUGCGAAAUGGGCGCAAGCCUGAUGCAGCCAAGCCGCGUUGGUGAAGAAGGCCCUCGGGUUGGAAAGCACUUUCAGCGGGGGGGCGUUACCCGCAGAAGAAGCACCGGCUAACUCCGUGCCAGCAGCCGCGGUAAUUC